rnacentral:rRNA from 1 species
GACGAACGCUGGCGGCGUGCUUAACACAUGCAAGUCGAACGGAAAGACCCUGCUUUUGUGGGGUGCUCGAGUGGCGAACGGGUGAGUAACACGUGAGUAACCUGCCCUUGACUUUGGGAUAACUUCAGGAAACUGGGGCUAAUACCGGUUAGGAGCUCCUGCUGCAUGGUGGGGGUUGGAAAGUUUCGGCGGUUGGGGAUGGACUCGCGGCUUAUCAGCUUGUUGGUGGUGUAGUGGCUUACCAAGGCUUUGACGGGUAGCCGGCCUGAGAGGGUGACCGGCCACAUUGGGACUGAGAUACGGCCCAGACUCCUACGGGAGGCAGCAGUGGGGAAUAUUGCACAAUGGGCGGAAGCCUGAUGCAGCAACGCCGCGUGCGGGAUGACGGCCUUCGGGUUGUAAACCGCUUUCGCCUGUGACGAAGCGUGAGUGACGGUAAUGGGUAAAGAAGCACCGGCUAACUACGUG